GACGUAGGGUCCAAGCGUUGUCCGGAUUUACUGGGCGUAAAGAGCGCGUAGGCGGCUCGUUAAGUGUGACGUGAAAUCUCCAGGGCUCAACCCGGAAACUGCUUCGCAUACUGGCGAGCUGGAGUGAUGAAGAGGUUUGUGGAAUUCCUGGUGUAGCGGUGAAAUGCGUUGAUAUCAGGAGGAACACCGAUGGCGAAGGCAGCAAACUGGUCAUCAACUGACGCUGAGGCGCGAAAGCGUGGGUAGCAAACAGG
rnacentral:rRNA from 1 species